GCCCAGCCUCAGGAUCCCCAGGUGUUCCCAUCCCCUGAUCAGGACUGAACACAGACCACUCACCAUGGGGUUCAAGCUCAGCUGGAUUUUCCUUAUGGCUUUUUUGAGAGGUGUCCAGUGUGAGGUCCAGCUGGUGGAGUCUGGGGGAGGCUUGGUGCAGCCUGCAGGGUCUCUGAGACUCUCCUGCGCAGCCUCUGGAUUCACCUUCAGUAGCUACUGGAUGGGUUGGGUCCACCAGGCUCCAGGGAAGGGGCUGGAGUGGUUAUGUCUAAUGAAUUCUGAUGAAAGUACCACAUACUAUGCCAACUCUGUGAAGGGCCAAUUCACCAUCUCCAGAGACAACGCCAAGAACAUGCUGUAUCUGCAAAUGAACACCCUGAUAGCCGAGGAAACGGCCAUGUAUUACUGUGCAAGAGACACAGUGAGGGGAAGUCAGUGUGAGCCCAGACACAAACUUUCCUGCAGCAGAGGCUGUGACCACAAGGGGGCCUCAGGGUCCCUGAAAACAAUGACCAUCCCAGUAGCAGGUGCAGUUGGAGGUUUGGUCUGGUUUCCUGUGUGGUUUCCCCUUCAUGUCACGGUUUCAGAAAACAUCUGGAUUCCUGACUCUGCACUUACCUUUGAGGUUUCUGAAUUAGAAAGUCUGUUGUAA